rnacentral:sRNA from 1 species
AACGUGACUACACUUUCAACAACCGGCAU